AAACUGAUAGCGCCAGACCUUUUUUCGCAUUAUGGGUGACGAGGCAGAGAGUUAUCGAAAUUUUCGGCGGAUGCUCUCUCGGCUCUUUUAGAGUCGUUAUAUUGUGUACAAAAGCAAAAAAUUUAUUCUGCUACAAAAA
rnacentral:ncRNA from 1 species